rnacentral:rRNA from 2 species
UGGCUCAGAACGAACGCUGGCGGCAGGCCUAACACAUGCAAGUCGAGCGCCCCGCAAGGGGAGCGGCAGACGGGAGAGUAACACGUGGGAACGUACCCUUCAGUUCGGAACAACCCAGGGAAACUUGGGCUAAUACCGAAUACGUCCGUAAGGAGAAAGAUUUAUCGCUGAAGGAUCGGCCCGCGUCUGAUUAGCUAGUUGGUGAGGUAACGGCUCACGAAGGCUACGAUCAGUAGCUGGUCUGAGAGGAUGAUCAGCCUCACUGCGACUGAGACACGAACCAGACUCCUACUUUCCGCAGCAGUGGAAUCUU